AAGUGCCCCUAAGAGCUGAUUAGGUUUCUAACAAACUCCAGAGCAUGAUCUGUGGGAACCACUGUAUGGAUCUGGGAUAAAGGGGACCAGCAUCCUUCCCUCUACCCUACAGCAAAUACUAUAAGAAAAUACAAGAGCAUAUAAAAAUUCUACACUCAGAAAUGAUGUUGUCAUCCAUUCUAUACUUAUUAUAAUCUUCUCCACAUUCCAUUUAUGUUAUCACAUCUUAGACGAAAUAAAAUUAAGACAUUUUUAUUUUACUGUCAUGUUCAUAGAGAGUAUUGCCUAUUUAUAGCAUAGAGAUUUUCCCUGCAUUUUAACGAAUCUUUGUCACUCACUGGAAACAGAACAGCUGACAGUCACCCCACUUUCAGUGCACAAACACAACUUUGCAGGGAAAAUUUUAGCGGUGAAGGAUGCCAGAAGGGCAGAGGUAGUAGGAGGAUCACGUUCCUUUUGAAGUGAUGGCUGAUUGCGGUAUUGGUAUAAAUAGCCGCUUUUGUAUCAUUAUUAGCAUGAUUAUGUUUGUGGUUUUUCACAACGGGCGCUUCUCACCGACACAUUUACUGUGACAAAUUUCCCAGAUUAUUAAAGUACAAUGAAAUUAAUUCUGAAGCCAAUCAGGGAGAGGAAUAGAGGAAGAGUUUGAGGUAAUGGGAAAUGAGAAGACAGAAAGAGAAGUGGAAAGACGGAAUAGAAAGGGAACAACUCAUGGCUCAGACACUGCUCCAGGCAUUUCAUUUAUUUUAGCCUGAUAUAUACGAGCAGGCGAAUGGGAGCACACCUGAUCGGCCACCACUGUCACACCAUACAGCCAGCACCUUCAGCACCGUGACACAGUGACGCCCGUCUCUGCCGCCACGGAAACAGUGCGGCGAUCCCUCCUUCGCACUGCCAACCCCCGACGGGAGCGGAAGAUGGGGAGGACACUUGGCCUUUGGCGCCGCAAGAAGCCUUUGACACUGGAUCUGGUCAGCAGUGAGCGAGAGGAUUAGGGGCAGCUACUGGCAGCCACUCUGUUAGCAGCCUCCCUCUCAGCUUUUGGCCGCAGAUCGGCGUCUGAAGUAAUAAGCAAUGUGCAACCAUGAGACUUGCACCCAUCUGUGUUGAGAUAAUAUGUGCCGCUGAAAUCAUUAGAGGCCGUACCGAGAUGAUAGCUGCUAUUGAAACUAUUCGAAUUAACUUUAUUCAUCACGAUACCAGUAAGUCACCUUGCACAUGGACAAUGUGCAUUAAUUUCUGCAGUAUUCCGAGAGUCACAAACAGUAAAGCUGAGGACAUAUCCGCCAUUGUGCACGUGUCCAUUUGAGCUGAUAUGCGAUUCUCAGUGUGCAUCUGUUCCUGAGUGUAUCAGUGCUCACCAGCUACAUGGGGAUGCCUGUCAUUUUGCUUACCUCUUUGCCCUUAAGUGAACUGCAGCAAGUAUUAUUGUAGUUUUCAUUUUUUUAAUUGAUUUUAUUUUUAUAUUACUUCUAAUUUUCAUUUGAAAUCCAGUUUAGUUUUAGUCCAUUUAGUUUAUAUAUAUUUUAUUUUCAGUAGUUUUUGUAGUUAUUUGUCCCUAGGGAUUUACUCAGAGUUGUGGAGCUAUUUAUAUCUAUGUUCUUCAGAGAAUUCUACAUGAAUACAUCAAAAUGUGCAACAUGUUCCAGGCAUUAUUCAUGGUAAUAGUAUUUAGAAUAACAGUAACAGAAAGUAUUUAAUGUUUGUUUUUAU